rnacentral:rRNA from 1 species
GACGAACGCUGGCGGCGUGCUUAACACAUGCAAGUCGAACGAUGAAGCCGGAGCUUGCUCUGGUGAAUUAGUGGCGAACGGGUGAGUAACACGUGAGUAACCUGCCCUUGACUCUGGGAUAACUGCGGGAAACUGUAGCUAAUACCGGAUACGACCCUCGGUGGCAUCUCCUGGGGGUGGAAAGAAUUUCGGUCGAGGAUGGACUCGCGGCCUAUCAGCUAGUUGGUGAGGUAAAGGCUCACCAAGGCGACGACGGGUAGCCGGCCUGAGAGGGUGACCGGCCACACUGGGACUGAGACACGGCCCAGACUCCUACGGGAGGCAGCAGUGGGGAAUAUUGCACAAUGGGCGCAAGCCUGAUGCAGCAACGCCGCGUGAGGGAUGACGGCCUUCGGGUUGUAAACCUCUUUUAGCAGGGAAGAAGCGAAAGUGACGGUACCUGCAGAAAAAGCACCGGCUAACUACGUGCCAGCCGCCGCUGUAA